GUAGGUGGCAAGCGUUGUCCGGAAUUAUUGGGCGUAAAGCGCGCGCAGGCGGUUCUUUAAGUCUGAUGUGAAAGCCCACGGCUCAACCGUGGAGGGUCAUUGGAGACUGGAGAACUUGAGUACAGAAGAGGAAAGCGGAAUUCCACGUGUAGCGGUGAAAUGCGUAGAGAUGUGGAGGAACACCAGUGGCGGAGGCGGCUUUCUGGUCUGUAACUGACGCUGAGGCGCGAAAGCGUGGGGGAGCAAACAGGAUUAGAUACCCUGGUAGUCCACGCCGUAAACGAUGAGUGCUAAGUGUUAACGGGGUUUCCGCCCCUUAGUGCUGCAGCUAACGCAUUAAGCACUCCGGCCUGGGAGUACGGCCGCAAGGCUG
rnacentral:rRNA from 1 species